rnacentral:lncRNA from 1 species
CCCAUACCUGAGUUUUUAGCUCACUUCUUCCACAUAUCUAGGUACUAGUCCAUUUGACAAAAAACUCUACAUACAAAAUUGAACAGCCUAAUCUUCUAUGCACUAGGUCUUGUUGAACGGAGGGUUUUAAUUUCAUCUUCCUCUUAACCCGUAGAAAGUUAGGAAUUAGCUCAUUCAAUAUUUCACGCAUUGGAGGGUCUCGCCAGUCAAAUAAGGUACAUCUACCCAAAUCUUGAUACCGUGGGUAAGUAAGAAAUUUCUUUCUCGAGUUCAAGUUCGUCUAUGAGGUCUUCGUCUACACAGGUAAUCAUAUCUAAAGACAUUCAUCUCCAUUUUCCUGCUGAAUUUUGACAUUUACUAGAAGAGAGAGACAGAUAAUAGUCCAGGAAACGGAAGGAAAUAAACAACGAUUUUGUAUAGGAAAGGGAAAAGUAGGAAGUGACAAAAAUGUUGAUGUUUUAAUUGGUUAAAAAUUCUAUAUUUUUAAUCUUCUAUGUCAACUAGCAAAUGAGCUGACGGUUUUUGUCAUUUUAUCCUUCUGGUGUGAUUAUUUUGAAGGCAUGGGAUUGUAAGUGGUACAAAUUGAAGGUCAAGGUAAAGCUCACGAAAAAAAAAAAAAAAAAGGUUGGAGAAUGUUGUUGCAAUUAUUCCUUUAAAGUAUGUAUAAAAAUUGAAAGAGAUCUAUGAUACUGAAUGUUAUAGGAGUACAUUGUUUAUGCUCUUGUCAAAGUAGAGUCAAUGGUACGUUUUUUUAUUGACUUGAUACAUAGAAAGCUCAUGUGGGGUGACCCGACCUGUAAGACAAUAAAGUGGGUUGAAGGGAAUGGUUUGAAUUUGGA